AUGAAACACUCCUACGGGAGGCAGCAGUGAGGAAUAUUGGUCAAUGGGCGGGAGCCUGAACCAGCCAAGUAGCGUGCAGGAUGACGGCCCUAUGGGUUGUAAACUGCUUUUAUGCGGGGAUAAAGUGAGGGACGUGUCCUUCAUUGCAGGUACCGCAUGAAUAAGGACCGGCUAAUUCCGUGCCAGCAGCCGCGGUAAUACGGAAGGUCCGGGCGUUAUCCGGAUUUAUUGGGUUUAAAGGGAGCGUAGGCCGUGGAUUAAGCGUGUUGUGAAAUGUAGACGCUCAACGUCUGACUUGCAGCGCGAACUGGUCCACUUGAGUGUGCACAACGCAGGCGGAAUUCGUCGUGUAGCGGUGAAAUGCUUAGAUAUGACGAAGAACCCCGAUUGCGAAGGCAGCUUGCGGGAGCACGACUGACGCUGAAGCUCGAAAGUGCGGGUAUCGAACAGGAUUAGAAACCCUAGUAGUCCGAAGUUC
rnacentral:rRNA from 1 species